rnacentral:rRNA from 1 species
UACGUAGGGGGCAAGCGUUGUCCGGAUUCAUUGGGCGUAAAGAGCGUGUAGGCGGCCAGGUAGGUCGGUUGUGAAAACUGGAGGCUCAACCUUCAGAGGUCGACCGAAACCAUCUGGCUAGAGUCCAGGAGAGGAGAGUGGAAUUCCUGGUGUAGCGGUGAAAUGCGCAGAUAUCAGGAAGAACACCCGUGGCGAAAGCGGCUCUCUGGAACGGUACUGACGCUGAGACGCGAAAGCGUGGGGAGCGAACAGG